rnacentral:rRNA from 1 species
UACGAAGGGGGCUAGCGUUGCUCGGAAUGACUGGGCGUAAAGGGCGCGUAGGCGGUUUGGACAGUCAGAUGUGAAAUUCCUGGGCUCAACCUGGGGGCUGCAUUUGAUACGUUCGGACUAGAGUGGGGAAGAGGGUCGUGGAAUUCCCAGUGUAGAGGGGAAAUUCGUAGAUAUUGGGAAGAACACCGGUGGCGAAGGCGGCGACCUGGUCCUUGACGGACGCUGAGGCGCGAAAGCGUGGGGAGCAAACAGG